CUCAACGGUGGAACGGCCAUUGAUACUGCUAGACUUGAAUUAUUAGGAAGUAACUAGAAUAUGUAGUGUAGCGGUGAAAUGCUUAGAGAUUACAUGGAAUACCAAUUGCGAAGGCAGGUUACUACUAAUUGAUUGACGCUGAUGGACGAAAGCGUGGGUAGCGAACAGGAUUAGAUACCCUGGUAGUCCACGCCGUAAACGAUGGAUACUAGCUGUUGGAAGCAAUUUCAGUGGCUAAGCGAAAGUGAUAAGUAUCCCACCUGGGGAGUACGAACGCAAGUUUGAAACUCAAAGGAAUUGACGGGGGCCCGCACAAGCGGUGGAGCAUGUGGUUUAAUUCGAUGAUACGCGAGGAACCUUACCAAGGCUUAAAUGUAGAUUGACCGGUUUGGAAACAGACUUUUCGCAAGACAAUUUACAAGGUGCUGCAUGGUUGUCGUCAGCUCGUGCCGUGAGGUGUCAGGUUAAGUCCUAUAACGAGCGCAACCCCUGUUGUUAGUUGCCAGCGAGUCAUGUCGGGAACUCUAACAAGACUACCAGUGUAAACUGUGAGGAAGGUGGGGAUGACGUCAAAUCAUCACGGCCCUUACGCCUUGGGCUACACACGUGCUACAAUGGACGGUACAGAGAGCAGCCACUGGGCAACCAGGAGCGAAUCUACAAAACCGUUCUCAGUUCGGAUCGGAGUCUGCAU
rnacentral:rRNA from 1 species